AAGAUUGGAGAGACGUACGCUUGUUUAAAUUUUGAUGAUGAUGAAAUAAAAUUCAUAUUUUAAGCCAAGGACACUGAGAUGCUGCCCCUAUUUCACAGGGAAAUGUUUUUGUGAAAGUGGAACCAUAGACCAGCUUUUUAAGAAUGCAUCAGGACUGCUGCUUCAAGGAAGAUGGAGUAGAGGUACUUUCCCCUCUUUCUCCCACGAAGUACAACUAGGAACCCUGGACAUUAUAUAUAAAACAAGUAUAAGAAGACUCUGAAAUGUGGAAAGAAGACACAGUGACUAGGAACCAUGAGACCCAACAAGCAGCAUGGGGACAAGGUACCUGGGUUUUUUUGUUUUGUUUUGUUUUGCCUCCAUAUCGUAGAAUUUGAGCUGAAGAAACCAGUGGCCCAGAAAUGCUAAGGGAUUCAGACCAAGAAUAAAGCCCCAACAAAAGCCUGCUCUCUCUAACUAAAGGACCAGGAAAGGGACAGCCUGGCAAGAAAGAAAAACUUUUGACAGUAACUGCUCUACUCCAGCCAAACACCAUACAUGAAACAAACAAAAAACAGUGCCCUCUCACCCAUGCCUGCUCACCCAGGCAUACCUUGGCGAUACUGCAGGUUUGGUUCCAGACUACUGCAAUAAAGUUUGCAUUGCAAUAAAAUGAGUCAUAACUUUUUUGGCUUCCCAGUGCAUAUAAAAGUUAUGUUUACACUAUACUGUAAUCUGUUAAGUGUGCAAUAGCGUUAUGUCU